rnacentral:lncRNA from 1 species
GUCUUUGGCAGAGGAGAUGGUGAAGCUAAUUUUCNAAAUAAGACAUCACGAUGGAUUAGUUCCAUUCUAGCCCGUGACCCAACAUAACUGCACUGUCAUGCCUUUAGUGGUUUUAUUUUUUGGGGGAUGCAGGGACUCACCAUUGGCCGUCAGAGGCCUCGUUCCAUUCAAUUCAAUUGUAGCUGGACUUAUUGGUCAAUAUUCUCGCUUUACAUAACUACUAUCUGCCAUAGUCGGGCUUAAUGCUCGAUAGACAAAAAAAAAGUUAAAACAGAAAUUCCAUAGUAGAUCCAAAUGCAAAAUAAACGUUUAACCAAUUAUCUUUUUCUCCGAACCUAAAUUAAAUCUUCUUAUCUGCUUUAAAUUUUAUUAACUUCUUUCUCAGUAGAUUAAACUUAUAAAUAAAUUUUGAUUAAAUCUCCUAUAUAACUAUACUAAUAAUACUUACAUAUAACUCUGUUUACCAAAUCUUAUAUAAGCAUAUCUCCCCAAAAUUCAUAUGUUAAUGUAGCUUAAUUUUAUAAAGCAAAGCACUGAAAAUGCUUAGAUGAGUAUUUAUACCCCAUAAACACAUAGGUUUGGUCCUGGCCUUUUCAUUAGCUUCUAGCUAACUUAUACAUGCAAGCAUCCCCGUCCCAGUGAGAAUACCCUCUAUAUCUACUAAUUGAUCAAAAGGUGCAGGCAUCAAGUUCACUAUUCCUGGUAGCUCAUAACGCCUUGCUCCACCACACCCCCACGGGAGACAGCAGUAAUUAAAAUUAAGCCUAUAAACGAAAGUUUGACUAAGUUAAGCUAAAUAAAGAGUUGGUAAAUUUCGUGCCAGCCACCGCGGUCAUACGAUUAACUCUAGUUAAUGAAACACGGCGUAAAGCGUGAUUAAGAGACUAAUCAGAUAAGAUUAAAAUAAUAUUAAACUGUAAAAAGUCUUGAUAAUUAUGAAAAUCAAAUACGAAAGUAAUCUUAAAUUUUCUGAAUUCACGAUAGCUAAGAUCAGGGCACACAUCUGUAAUCACAGCAGCUUGGGAGGUUGAGGUAGGAGAAUGGAAGGUUCAAAGUCAGCC